GGGUGAUUGGCUCAUCUGGUUAGAGCGGUUGGCUGUUAACCAACAGGUGCUAGGUUCAAGUCCUAGAUCACCCGCCA
rnacentral:tRNA from 1 species